ensembl:lncRNA LINC00885 long intergenic non-protein coding RNA 885
GGUGAGAGAAAGCUGAGCAGAAUGGAUCUAAUCUGAUUCCUCCACCCAGAAGCCCUUAAAAUGCAGCUUUGUUUUAAGCCUUCUUGAAGAUUUGGGCUAGAUCUAGAAAAGAACCUCACCACGGAGGAUGUGCAAAGUACAACACGUGACCCCGGAGACGGAAGCUCUUCUCUACCUCCGUAAAGAUGAUCUCUGAUGAACAGACAUGAUCAUGCCUGGAGAACAGGGAUGGACAGUCCCGCUUCUGAAAGACCCUGUCUGGCUGAUGAUUCAUGGUGCGCCGGGCAGACCCCAGGCCAAGAGACCCCACCCACAGUACCUGAGUGCUCAGCUGGGAACCAGACCAGACCUCAAAACAGGUUUGCAGAAUUAAGAUGAGGAGCUGAGCUCAACACAGCCUCCGCAGCUCCCCAGGGCGGGCCUGAGCCGAGGGAGAGCCCAUGGCCAUCAGGGUGCUGGAAUGCAUGUCACACUGCAUUACGUGCAUUACGAUCCACGCUGCAAUGACAGCCCAGAGCGUGGAGAACCCAGAGAGGGUGGGGAGAUGGAAUCCCGGCGAGCCAGCGCUGGCAGGGACCACGGGGAGCAGCUGGUCCAGCCGCCGGUUUUCCAAGAGAGAAGACUAAGAAGUGAGUCACUUGCCCACAGCCACAGAGAGAAGGAGGGCAACGAGGCCGGCAGGUCAGCAGCGAGCAGUUAGUUCAAGGCCUUGAGGGCUUCCACUAACUUUGAAGGGCGAGGAUGGGCGGAGCUCUGGAGGCCGCCGGGACCAGCCCCCCAGCAUUGACCUGGAUGCCUGCCACAGCCUCCUCCCUGGUCUCCGGCCUCCCACCUCUGCUCCUCGGUCUCCUCUACCCAGCCAGUAACUGCAGAGAGCACUAAAGCACAGUCCUGGCAUCUCACCCCCUUAACCCUGGCCACGGCUUCCCAGUGCCUCCAAGAUAAAGCACCAACACCUGAGGACAGCAGCUUGUUUUGAGAGUCCCCUCCAUUGAAACACGCACAUCUAAUUUGUCCUUCAGUUCGCUGGACUCCACGCUGAACGUGCCAUGCUCCAUUGCCCCGUGAGUAACUCCAUGCUCUUGCCGGUUUCACACGGCCUCUCAGAGCUGGAGCCUUUGUUCAGGAGCCCUGGGCAGCUUUCAGGAAGCUCUUGGGCUCAUCAGCUUCCUCUGGCUGAAGCCGCCCCAGUGGAAUCAUGGGGAUUUCUUACUUUGAAGGUGGGGCCACCCGCAGACUGUAACCGGCUGGUUCAAGAUCAAGGACUUCCCCAGGCCACCUGCCUCAGAGGCAAGAAAGGCUCAGCUGAGUCCCAGACACUCCUCGCUGUGGCCCCUCCUUCCUCCCUGCUGGGCAGGCCCCCCUCAAUUCUGUUUGCCAGCAGGGCCUAGUAACACUGAAAGACGAAAAGGGAAAUAAAAUAAACACAAUUAAUAGGCUAAAGGUUACUGAAUAAAGUGGCAGCAGUAAAUAAAUUGACUACUGUGCAAAUACAAAGACAUGAAGACAUGAAACCCCUGCUCUAAAUGACCACUCACCAAGAGCAAGGCCUGGGCUGGAGGCAGGGAGCACCUCCCUAAGGAGCACUCCCUCUUUCCCGGAGUGAGUCCUCCUUCUAGAUGGAAUUCAGUCCGGGUUCCUCUUGAGCCACAGUCCCUGUUGGGGCCUAUCUCAGUGGACUCAAGAUCCUGAACUUCUUCCAGAUUGCUGACUACACAUUUGAGUCACCCAGAGAUUAAAAGAAAAAACAAAUAA